UACGAAGGGGCUAGCGUUGCUCGGAAUCACUGGGCGUAAAGGGUGCGUAGGCGGGUCUUUUAAGUCAGGGGUGAAAUCCUGGAGCUCAACUCCAGAACUGCCUUUGAUACUGAAGAUCUUGAGUUCGGGAGAGGUGAGUGGAACUGCGAGUGUAGAGGUGAAAUUCGUAGAUAUUCGCAAGAACACCAGUGGCGAAGGCGGCUCACUGGCCCGAUACUGACGCUGAGGCACGAAAGCGUGGGGAGCAACAGGA
rnacentral:rRNA from 1 species